UAGUAAUUUUACAUGGAUGUUGUGGAGCUAAAGAGAAUCGUUGAGUCAUGUGUUAAUUAUCUUGUUAAUUAUCGAUAGAUUGCACAAUGCCUCUGUCGUUAGAAUUUUAGAUAGGCCUGAUGUUAAGAAUGAUCAAGGGAGAAACCAGCACAGUGGUGAUGGUGAACAGGGCCAGGGACCCAGUGCUCUCCAUCCUCCGUCCAUCUGUACUCAUCUGGAAAAGCCAUCGGGCCAAGCAGGUUUUGGGGGUGAUUGGAGGCUCUGUCGGAACCGGCUCCCGGACUUGGCGUGUCUGUGACAGCCCCUCUCCCGGGCACCAAGGACCAUUCUGCCUUCAUCCUGCCGUGACUGACAGGUUUUUAUGAGCUAUCAAUCACCUUAACAAAGCUGCAGCAUGAGAGAGAGCGAGCCACUGCCAGGGGAGGUCUGACCUGCGGCCUAGCGUGACAUUCAGGGAAGGAGAGCUGCUCACCCAGGAAAUCCCAUUACACCAAAGCAUGAUGGAUAUCGCUCCUGGAUAAAGCUCAUAUGUGGUCUGACAUAUAAUUUGUUAUAAUUUGUAAAAAUCAUAUGGCCACGUUCACAUUUCUGUCUUUCAUUCUUUUGAAACUCCUCACUCUCUCCUAUACUUUAGCCUAAACACAGUGUCUCACAUACUGAUGGUCCAGAAUAUUCUGUGGAUCCGCACAUCUGACUCCUCUGCAGAUGGCUAGGAAGUGUCCCAGCCCAGGAAGGGUAAAAUGGCCCCAGUAUGACUAUGAUAUGUCAGUGGGGGAGCUGAGAAGUUUGCUAGUGUAUUGAAUGCACUGUAAACUGUAUAAACUUGUCAUCAUCAUAUCGUCUCUGCCAUGUGGAGCAGUGGAGGCUGCUGAGGGAAGGAUGGCUCAUAAUAAUGUCUGGAAUGGAGUCAAUGGAAUACUAUCAAACACAUCAACAAUGUGGUUUCCAUGUGGUUGAUAGCAUUUGAUUUACUCCAUUCCAGCUAUUAUUAUGAGCCAUUCUCCCUCAGCAGCCUCUACUGAUGUGGAAGUAAUGUUAACAUUAGCAUGCUCAUUGUUCAGUUAUAAUAGAAGACAGACUAUUGAUUUAUUGUUCAGUUCUAAUAUAAUACAUACUAUUGAUUUCUUGCACACACAGGAUUUGGCUCAUAUUAUUUUUUAUUUUUUUAGUUCUUCAACCCAGACGGCCAUUUUUAUAGAUGUCUGGGAAUUUACUCUAUUAAAAAUGAAGGACAUUAAUAUGAGAUCU